AUUGAACGCUGGCGGCAGGCUUAACACAUGCAAGUCGAGCGGAGUGAUGGUGCUUGCACUAUCACUUAGCGGCGGACGGGUGAGUAAUGCUUAGGAAUCUGCCUAUUAGUGGGGGACAACAUCUCGAAAGGGAUGCUAAUACCGCAUACGUCCUACGGGAGAAAGCAGGGGAUCUUUAUGACCUUGCGCUAAUAGAUGAGCCUAAGUCGGAUUAGCUAGUUGGUGGGGUAAAGGCCUACCAAGGCGACGAUCUGUAGCGGGUCUGAGAGGAUGAUCCGCCAGACUGGGAGAGAGACUCGGCCCAGACUCCUACGGGGGGCAGCAGUGGAGAAUAUUGGACAAUGGGGGAACCAUGAUCCAGCCAUGCCGCGUGUGUGAAGAAGGCCUUAUGGUUGUAAAGCACUUUAAGCGAGGAGGAGGCUCUUUUGGUUAAUACCCAAGAUGAGUGGACGUUACUCGCAGAAUAAGCACCGGCUAACUCUGUGCCAGCAGCCGCAGUAA
rnacentral:rRNA from 1 species